UUUUAUUUUCACAAAACCGAAAUCACUAAAUCCUUAGGAAUAACACUCCAGCGAAAAUCCUCCCGGAAAGAUGACGAAUUAUCAGCUCACUAAUGAGCAAGGAAACUCCUUUAUGAUGAUGAAGCUACCCUUGCUGACUCAAAUUUGAACUUGGAAAAUCAGAAACUUCAUUUACAAAUAUGCGUGCAAGCGUUUAAAUGGAUCGUAUGAACAACUCUAAACUACAGGCUAUGGCUGUGCAGAAAACUUCAGUAUUUCCAAGCAUCUCCAAUCGGGCGAGUUAUGCCAUUCUUAUCCCACUGUCCUAAUCGAUCUCCAUUUGGAGAAAUCACAAAUCUCCUAGCUCUCGAACGUGCGGGACUCGAUUUGUUGGACCUGUGCCGGGGUGAAAACAUGUAUGCAACUUCGUUGUUUCCAUCUGACAAAGGUGAGACUUUUAUGAAUACACACGUAAAUGAAGUGACAUGUCAAUGAAUAUCAGGUAAAGAGAGUCAGCAACUUUACUCACAUUGCGCCAAAAGAUCAGCAGGUGUUGAACUGUAGAAAUCGGCCUCGAAAAUACGUCCCUGGUAUUGAUGCAGGAACUCCUGCCCUUGUGUUAUCUUGUCAUACAGAUAGUUCAUAAGUUCUACGUCAGUGGGUCGAAAAUCAACAGCAGCAGCCAACCUAGGAUUUAGACGAUGAAGGCAAACACGGGUUUUAUUAGAUUAAAUAUUACUUUCCCCGAAACGGAGAGAAUAUAUGAAUCACAAAAAAUCUCACUGAAAAUUGAAUGAAUACAACCAAGAAAAUGGUUCUUUUUCUUAAAUAAAGUAAGGAUACAUGAAAUAACUAACCCUUGAUUUUGUUGGGGAUGCUGAUCACCGGCAUUAGCUUGAUUAUGAUUCUCUACAUUAGCAUCUACUGGUGACGGAGGAGGAGUGCGAUUCAGGUCCAAUUGGAGUUGCUGCAAGGGUUGAGGAUUUUGAUUAACGUGUUCCUCCACUUCUUGGUCUUGAUUCUCUGCAUUUUCUGGCUGUAUCUCAUCUACUGGUGAAGGAGGUUCCAUUUGAUUGAGAUCACCAUCAGCAGCAGCGUGAUUUUGAUGUUCGUGCACUUCUUGGUUUUGAUUAUGUAAUGGUGAAGGAGGAGCCAAUUGGUUUUGAUCACCAGCAUCAGCAUCAUCUUGAUCUUCUUGCAAUUCUUGAUUCUGUACAUUUGCUGGCUGUAUCUCAUUCACUGGUGAAGGAGGAGGUGUGAGAUUGAGGUCGAUUGCCAUUGAUGGGAAGUUCUUGUUUCUUGGUGUUUAUGUAAAAUCAGAGAGAAAGAAUGAACAGAGAAGAAUUCUUUUGUUUCUUGUGUUUUCUGUAAUUUUGGUUUCUUGCGGUGUCUCUGAUAAAAGUGAAUUUUUGAUUCGUCUAAUCGUUAAUUUUCAGUUCUUAUAAGGAACGCGGGAUUUUUUUU